GAAUAGCUUAGUGGUAGAGCGCAAGGCUCUUAGGUAAACCUUGUGGUCGUGGGUUCGAUCCCCACUUC
rnacentral:tRNA from 1 species